CACGGCCAUCAUCUCAUUGGACGAAGAAGAAGAAGUGUGCGCGCCGAACGUUUCUAAGGACUAUUCGCGCUGGGACACUGAGCAGCAGGACACUGAGUGUGAUAGAGCGUGAUGUGGGCAAGUAUUGCGCUUGUCUAAUCUACAGUUAACAAUACAAGGACACUGAACAGGACCAAAGCAGAAGCCUGUAAUAAACCACAGCUUGUGCAAGAUUGUUCGAAAGGCGCUCUGUAUUUUUCUACUGGUGCAGUCGGCAGCAUCGGUCUACUCGGCGGGGUCCCCGACAGGAUUGUUCCGGCUUUCUGCAUCGAAGACGACCCAGCGAACAACCGUGGAAGCGACAACUAUUAAACCGAGAACCCAGGUAUUGCACUGCGACGCAGACUUCGCCAGAGGCAUCGCGAUCGCAUCCAAGCGCCUCAGGCUUCAGAACAACAGGCAGGCCUUCAGCUCUACGCAGGGCAGGACGGUUCACCGACAGAAAUGUUGGAAAUAUCGGCAAAGAAAGGGGGAAAACCCCACUGGGCAGAGGGAAAGUGCCUGUACGCCGUUAUCCCUCCCCAGAACUGCACGGCUCUCUUCGUAGACUUUACUAAUGACUGAGCAUUUGAAAGCAGAACUCUUCCGAAAGAAACUAUAUUUCU